rnacentral:rRNA from 1 species
CACCUGCCCGGUGCUGGAAGGUUAAGGAGAGGGGUUAGCGUAAGCGAAGCUCUGAACUGAAGCCCCAGUAAACGGCGGCCGUAACUAUAACGGUCCUAAGGUAGCGAAAUUCCUUGUCGGGUAAGUUCCGACCCGCACGAAAGGUGUAACGAUUUGGGCACUGUCUCAACCAGAGACUCGGUGAAAUUAUAGUACCUGUGAAGAUGCAGGUUACCCGCGACAGGACGGAAAGACCCCGUGGAGCUUUACUGUAGCCUGAUAUUGAAUUUUGGUACAGUUUGUACAGGAUAGGCGGGAGCCUUUGAAACCGGAGCGCUAGCUUCGGUGGAGGCGCUGGUGGGAUACCGCCCUGACUGUAUUGAAAUUCUAACCUACGGGUCUUAUCGACCCGGGAGACAGUGUCAGGUGGGCAGUUUGAACUGGGGCGGUCGCCUCCUAAAGUGUAACGGAGGCGCCCAAAGGUUCCCUCAGAAUGGUUGGAAAUCAUUCGUAGAGUGCAAAGGCAUAAGGGAGCUUGACUGCGAGACCUACAAGUCGAGCAGGGACGAAAGUCGGGCUUAGUGAUCCGGUGGUUCCGCAUGGAAGGGCCAUCGCUCAACGGAUAAAAGCUACCCCGGGGAUAACAGGCUUAUCUCCCCCAAGAGUCCACAUCGACGGGGAGGUUUGGCACCUCGAUGUCGGCUCAUCGCAUCCUGGGGCUGUAGUCGGUCCCAAGGGUUGGGCUGUUCGCCCAUUAAAGCGGUACGCGAGCUGGGUUCAGAACGUCGUGAGACAGUUCGGUCCCUAUCCGUCGUGGGCGUAGGAAAUUUGAGAGGAGCUGUCCUUAGUACGAGAGGACCGGGAUGGACGCACCGCUGGUGUACCAGUUGUUCUGCCAAGGGCAUAGCUGGGUAGCUAUGUGCGGAAGGGAUAAGUGCUGAAAGCAUCUAAGCAUGAAGCCCCCCUCAAGAUGAGAUUUCCCAUAGCGUAAGCUAGUAAGAUCCCUGAAAGAUGAUCAGGUUGAUAGGUUCGAGGUGGAAGCAUGGUGACAUGUGGAGCUGACGAAUACUAAUAGAUCGAGGACUUAACCAU